rnacentral:RNase_P_RNA from 2 species
AAGAGCAGGUGUAGGUGGUUGCGGACUUGCGGUUGCAGGUCUGAGGAAAGUCCGGGCUCUCGAAAGACCAAACUUGCUGGGUAAUACCCAGUGCGGGUGACCGUGAGGAGAGUGCCACAGAAACAUACCGCCGAUGGAGGAUUUAGCUGUUUAAUCCCAGCUAAAUGCUAACAGGUAAGGGUGCAAAGGUGUGGUAAGAGCACACCAGCAACGUCGAGAGGCGUUGGCUCGGUAAACCCCAGUGGAGAGCAAGGCAAAGAGGGCAAAGGUUGGUCUUUUCCCUGUCCUCGUUUGAUGCGCCGCUAGAGGCGUCUGGUAACAGGCGUCCCAGAUAGAUAACUACCCUCUUUCUAUAAAUCAAGCUGAGCAGUGUAUUACUCUCGUUUGCAGAAGGAGAACAGAACCCGGCUUACGGCCUGCUCUUUUUU